GACGAACGCUGGCGGCGUGCUUAACACAUGCAAGUCGAACGGAAAGGCCCUGCUUUUGUGGGGUGCUCGAGUGGCGAACGGGUGAGUAACACGUGAGUAACCUGCCCUUGACUUUGGGAUAACUUCAGGAAACUGGGGCUAAUACCGGAUAGGAGCUCCUGCUGCAUGGUGGGGGUUGGAAAGUUUCGGCGGUUGGGGAUGGACUCGCGGCUUAUCAGCUUGUUGGUGGGGUAGUGGCUUACCAAGGCUUUGACGGGUAGCCGGCCUGAGAGGGUGACCGGCCACAUUGGGAUUGAGAGACGGCCCGACCACACACGGGAGGCAGGGGUGGGGAAUUUUGCCAAAGGGGCGGGAGCUGGAUGGAGAAACGCCGGGGGGGGGAGGGCGGCCUUCGGGUUGGAAACAGUUUUCGCGUGGGACGAAGGGUGAGGGGCGGAAAGGGGUAAAAAACCACGGGUAAAUUCGGU
rnacentral:rRNA from 1 species